UACGACAAGGGCUGAGUCGCGACGGGGAAUAUUCGCGACGACGAUGUAAUCACGAAAAUCGCUAAAGUGUCUCGCUCGCAAAUAAAAAAAAUUGUAAACAGUUUACAACUAUAUUAAUGGUUUAUAAGUGCACUCUUUACUUUAAUGUUACUAUUAUAUUAUUUUAUUUUUUAGUUUGCCAUGCCCUGGCUAGAACCACCAUUUUACCCUCAAGUACGUUUAAUGCAUCGAUAUAUGAUGCCAUGACUUCGAGAAACGGAUUAUCUUUUUCAGAAGCAGACGAAGAUGGUCUCGUAUAUAUCAAUCUGUUUUUAUCGGGAAUGUCUUCAAACCUUGCUAACAUAUCGUUUGAAAUAAAUAAGACACACAACGUCACUGUGUUUUUGUUUAAUACAGAAGAUCAUGAAAUCAAACUGUAUAACGACCACUCUAAGGAUCUUGAACGUUGGAAAGUUUCAAUGGCAAACAGCGUCAUUGCCCAAGUGUCGCACGUCGUUAUAGUUGUCCACUAUACAUACCCAUUCACUAUUUCUAACAUGAGACUUCCCUUGAGGAAAUGCUUUAAGCAUAUCAAUAAUUAAUUCAGUAUGCACAAGGAACUCUGAAUCAACAAUGAAGACAUUAUAUAUUUUGUAUGCUCCAUGAUAAAUCAGCAAGUUCGGCUAAAUAAAUAAGCAUACAACAUUACAGUUAUUUAAUGAAAUAAUGAUUAAAAAAAACACCAAAAAAAAAUUUGAUUAACUUUAUUUUAGUGACACAUAUUCUAAAGGAAUGAACAAUAAUAAAGUGCGCAUUGACUUAUACAGUCAAUUGUAGCAGUGACUAAUAUUGCAAUGAUACAGGACAUUGCAUUAUACGUAAAUCGUUUCCUUUGAAAGAAGACCAAUAUUACUUUUUACAUCAUGCAAAAGUUAUCAACAUUUGACAAGG